GCCCUAGUGCUCGACCCAAUAAUCAAUGGAUACCAUCUCACUCAAGUCCUCAUGAACAGCGGCAGCAGUCUAAAUCUGAUAUAUCAGGACACUGUCCACAAAAUGGGGAUAGACCCGUCAAGAAUCAAGCCAAGCAGCACGACCUUUAAAGGAGUUAUACCAGGCAUAGAAGCCCACUGCACGGGCUCUUUAACAUUGGAAGUCGUAUUCGGCUCUCCCGAUAAGUUUCGAAGCGAAGAGCUAAUCUUUGACAUAGCUCUGUUUCGAAGUGGCUAUCAUGCACUUCUCGGAAGAACGGCCUUUGCCCGCUUUAAUGCAGUCCCACAUUAUGCCUAUUUAAAGCUCAAAAUGCCUGGACCACGUGGCGUCAUUACGGUCAGUGGAAAUACGGAGCGCUCUCUCCAUAUGAAA
rnacentral:rRNA from 1 species